rnacentral:misc_RNA from 1 species
UUGAGUUCUAAACAACUCCCAAACCCAUGUGAACAUACCUUUUGUUGCUUCGGCGGAUCGCCCCGGGUGCCUUUGUUGCGCCCCGGAUCCAGGCGCCCGCCAGAGGACCGAAACUCUUGUAUUACUUUAGUAUUCUCUGAGUGGAUUACACAAAUAAUCA